ACCAUGGCCUGGGCCCCUCUGCUCCUCGCACUGCUUGCCCAUGGCUCAGGUUCCCUGGUCCAGGCAGCGCUGACUCAGCCCCCAUCGCUCUCAGUGGAUCCAGGAAAGGACGCUCAGAUCACCUGCUCUGGGGGCAGCAGCUACUAUGGCUGGUACCAGCAGAAGGUGCCUGGCAGUGCCAUUGUCACUGUGAUCUACGAUAACAACAAGAGACCCUCGGGCAUCCCUUCGCGAUUCUCCGGAUCCGGCUCCGGCUCCACGAACACCUUAACCAUCACUGGGGUCCAACCCGAGGAUGAGGCCGUCUAUUACUGUGGUGGCUGGGACAGCAGCAGCAGCUAUGGUGUCUGA